AGCAGCCGCGGUAAUUCCAGCUCCAAUAGCGUAUAUUAAAGUUGUUGCAGUUAAAAAGCUCGUAGUUGAACUUCGGGGUUCACCCAUUGGUCAGGCUUAAUUGUCUGUACUGGUGAGAUGAGUCUCUACCUUCUGAGGAACUUUCAUGCCAUUUAUUUGGUGUGAUUGGAAAUCAGGACUGUUACUUUGAAAAAAAUUAGAGUGUUUAAAGCAGGCUAACGUCUGAAUACAUUAGCAUGGAAUAAUGAAAUAGGACGGAUUGAUUCUAUUUCGUUGGUUUCUAGGGUCACCGUAAUGAUUAAUAGGGAUAGUUGGGGGCAUUAGUAUUCAAUUGUCAGAGGUGAAAUUCUUGGAUUUAUUGAAGACUAACUACUGCGAAAGCAUUUGCCAAGGAUGUUUUCAUUAAUCAAGAACGAAAGUUAGGGGAUCGAAGACGAUCAGAUACCGUCGUAGUCUUAACCAUAAACUAUGCCGACUAGGGAUCGGACGCAGUUAAUUUUAUAAUGACGUGUUCGGCUAC
rnacentral:rRNA from 1 species